UAGACCUCUCGACUCAAAACAUAUAGCAUCCAUGGGUAGAACACAUAAUCUAACAACAUCAAAGAAUAUUUUUGAAAAUAUUGUAUUGGCAUGAAUGCAACCACGACCAUAAAAAAACAUGAAAAUAUAGUGUGUAUCUGCAUGAAAGCGUCCCACAUAAUACUUUAGUAGCAUCAACUUUCGAUACAUACUCGUAGGACAUACCCAGUGGAGAAGACUGAAGUUGCAAUGAUACCAUUGCAGUGCGAUCCAGCUUCACCUGAAAAAUUAAAGGCAAAAAAUUUAUAAGCAAAUCGGAAAAUAACUUGAAUAUACAUAUUUGAUAUUCUCCAAGGCCAUAAGGAGAAUAUAAGUACAGUAGUAAAGUUCAUGAGUAGCCAAUAUAGUCCAACCACUUUCAAUUUAACAUUCAUGAAAACGACGAAAUUGUGUUUUAAGCCAUUUUGCCUACAAAAUGAAGUGGUAUAUAUUCAUUCACUUUGUAGUGAGCCAGACAUACACUUCCAAUGGUAGAAUUACUGCAAUUAUAUUUGAUUGGAUCUUGACUAAUUCGUAAUACAUUUAAAUCUAACUCGAAAUUCAAUAAAUAUGACUUCACUACAGAAAUAUGUGUGAGAUGCAAUAUUCAUUGUUGAUCUGCAAAACAAUAAGCAAAGAUUACAUCCAGUUAAUAAAAACAUUUCAUAGUUCAAAUGAGAAUCCUAGGUUUGAGGCAUAAGUUUCAACUUAUUAAGAUAUUACCUACUUUAUAUCCUUCAGUAAAUCUGAUAAGGGAAGUUUAAAUUAUCACAUUCAUUUGGAGGAAGAAAUGAUCCCUAAUAUUUGCACAAAUCAUGUUAAUUUAUGAUAGUUAAAUAUAAACUAAUGCUGCAGCCUACAGUUAUGAAAACCUGUUGAUGACAUAUGGUUGUAUUAUGUGUCAACAAAGAGUGGAGCAAAAUCAAAAUUCAAGCAUAUUUCCUCUAAAUGUCAUUUCUGCAAAUACAAAUAGCAUAUCUUCUACAAAGUAGUUUUUACUCCGUAAAAUAAAUGUAUAAUACUCCAUAUUGAAGAUCGCAAAUACAAA